UACAAGGACCCCAAGCGUUAUCCGGAUUUACUGGGCGUAAAGCGUGUGUAGUUGGUCUUGCUAGUCUGAUGUUAAAUCUCCGGGCUUAACCCAGAGGCCGCAUCGGAAACGGCAGGACUCGAGCAGGUAAGAGGCAAGCGGAACGUGCGGUGUAGGGGUGAAAUCCAUUGAUAUUGCACAGAACACCAAAAGCGAAGGCAGCUUGCUAGUGCUUUGCUGACAAUGAGACACGAAAGCGUGGGGAUCAAAAAGG
rnacentral:rRNA from 1 species